GAUGAACGCUAGCUACAGGCUUAACACAUGCAAGUCGAGGGGUAACGAGAGGAAAGCUUGCUUUCCUUGUCGACGACCGGCGCACGGGUGAGUAACGCGUAUCCAACCUGCCCCCAACUAGGGAAUAACCUUGCGAAAGUAAGACUAAUACCCUAUAAUUUCCUCAGAUGUCAUCUGACGAGGAAUAAAGAUUUAUCGGUUGUGGAUGGGGAUGGGUCUGAUUAGCUUGUUGGCGGGGUAACGGCCCACCAAGGCAACGAUCAGUAGGGGCUCUGAGAGGAAGGUCCCCCACAUUGGAACUGAGACACGGUCCAAACUCCUACGGGAGGCAGCAGUGAGGAAUAUUGGUCAAUGGGCGGAAGCCUGAACCAGCCAAGUAGCGUGCAGGAUGACGGCCCUAUGGGUUGUAAACUGCUUUUAUACAGGAAUAAAGUUAGCCACGUGUGGUUAUUUGUAGGUACUGUAUGAAUAAGGACCGGCUAACUCCGUGCCAGCCGCCGCCGUAA
rnacentral:rRNA from 1 species